UACAUGGGGUGCAACCGUUGCUCGGAAUCAUUGGGCGUAAAGCGCGCGUAGGCGGUUACUUAUGUCGGAUGUGAAAGCCCUCGGCUUAACCGAGGAAGUGCAUCCGAAACUGGGUAGCUAGAGUACGAAAGAGGGUCGCGGAAUUCCCGGUGUAGAGGUGAAAUUCGUAGAUAUCGGGAGGAACACCGGUGGCGAAGGCGGCGACCUGGGUCGAGACUGACGCUGAGGCGCGAAAGCGUGGGGAGCAAACAGG
rnacentral:rRNA from 1 species